UACGAAGGGGGCUAGCGUUGCUCGGAAUCACUGGGCGUAAAGGGUGCGUAGGCGGGUCUUUAAGUCAGGGGUGAAAUCCUGGAGCUCAACUCCAGAACUGCCUUUGAUACUGAGGAUCUUGAGUUCGGGAGAGGUGAGUGGAACUGCGAGUGUAGAGGUGAAAAUUCGUAGAUAUUCGCAAGAACACCAGUGGCGAAGGCGGCUCACUGGCCCGAUACUGACGCUGAGGCACGAAAAGCGUGGGGGAGCAAACAGGG
rnacentral:rRNA from 1 species